rnacentral:rRNA from 1 species
AACAGGAUUAGAUACCCUGGUAGUCCACGCCGUAAACGAUGCUAACUCGUUUUUGGGUUUUCGGAUUCAGAGACUAAGCGAAAGUGAUAAGUUAGCCACCUGGGGAGUACGUUCGCAAGAAUGAAACUCAAAGGAAUUGACGGGGGCCCGCACAAGCGGUGGAUUAUGUGGUUUAAUUCGAUGAUACGCGAGGAACCUUACCAAGGCUUAAAUGGGAAUUGAUGGGUUUAGAAAUAGACCGUCCUUCGGGCAAUUUUCAAGGUGCUGCAUGGUUGUCGUCAGCUCGUGCCGUGAGGUGUUAGGUUAAGUCCUGCAACGAGCGCAACCCCUGUUACUAGUUGCUACCAUUAAGUUGAGGACUCUAGUAAGACUGCCUACGCAAGUAGAGAGGAAGGUGGGGAUGACGUCAAAUCAUCACGGCCCUUACGCCUUGGGCCACACACGUAAUACAAUGGCCGGUACAGAGGGCAGCUACCUAGCGAUAGGAUGCGAAUCUCGAAAGCCGGUCUCAGUUCGGAUUGGAGUCUGCAACUCGACUCUAUGAAGCUGGAGUCGCUAGUAAUCGCGCAUCAGCCAUGGCGCGGUGAAUACGUUCCCGGGCCUUGUACACACCGCCCGUCAAGCCAUGGAAGUCUGGGGUACCUGAAGUCGGUGACCGUAAAAGGAGCUGCCUAGGGUAAAACAGGUAACUAGGGCUAAGUCGUAACAAGGUAACC